rnacentral:misc_RNA from 1 species
CCGAGUUUACAACUCCCAAACCCCUGUGAACAUACAUUAUGUUGCUUCGGCGGAUCAGCCCGCGCCCCGUAAAAAGGGACGGCCCGCCGCAGGAACCCUAAACUCUGUUUUUAGUGGAACUUCUGAGUGUAAAAAACAAAUAAAUCA